rnacentral:rRNA from 1 species
GAUGAACGCUGGCGGCGUGCCUAAUACAUGCCAGUCGAGCGAACAGACGAGGAGCUUGCUCCUCUGACGUUAGCGGCGGACGGGUGAGUAACACGUGGAUAACCUACCUAUAAGACUGGGAUAACUUCGGGAAACCGGAGCUAAUACCGGAUAAUAUAUUGAACCGCAUGGUUCAAUAGUGAAAGACGGUUUUGCUGUCACUUAUAGAUGGAUCCGCGCCGCAUUAGCUAGUUGGUAAGGUAACGGCUUACCAAGGCGACGAGGCGUAUCCGACCUGAGAGGGGGAUCGGCCACAUGGGAGCGGGGACGCGGACCAGACGACUACGAGAGGCAGCAGUAGGGAAUCGGCCGCAAUGGGCGAAAGCCUGACGGAGCAACGCCGCGUGAGAGAUGAAGGUCUUCGGAGCGUAAAACUCUGUUAUUAGUGAAGAACAAAUGUGUAAGUAACUAUGCACUUCUUGACGGUACCUAAUCAGAAAGCCACGGCUAACUACGUG